GCCCGCCUAGCUCAAUCGGAUAGAGCGUCAGACUUUUAAGACAGUCUAAAAAUAGGCGGCUUACGUGACCAUCUGAAGGCUGCGAGUUCGACCCUCGCGGUGGGCU